rnacentral:lncRNA from 1 species
GCAUCACACAAACACCAUGAGAACAGAGGCAUCACACACACAACACCCUGUGAACAGAGGCAUCACACACAACACCCUGUGAACAGAGGCAUCACACAACACCCUGUGAGCAGAGGCAUCACACACAACACCCUGUGAACAGAGGCAUCACACACAACACCCUGUGAACAGAGACAUCACACACAACACCCUGUGAACAGAGGCAUCACACAACACCCUGUGAAAAGAGGCAUCACACAACACCCUGUGAACAGAGGCAUCAAACACAACACCCUGUGAACAGAGGCAUCACACACAACACCCUGUGACCAGAGGCAUCGCACACAACACCCUGUGAACAGAGGCAUCACACACAACACCCUGUGAGCAGUGGCAUCACACACAACACCCUGUGAACAGAGGCAUCGCACAACAACCUGUGAGCAGAGGCAUCACACAACACCCUGUGAACAGAGGCAUUACACACAAAACACCCUGUGAACAGAGGCAUCACACAACUCCCUGUGAACAGAGGCAUCACACACAACACCCUGUGAACAGAGUCAUCACACAGCACCCUGUGAACAGAGGCAUCACACAACACCCUGUGAGCAGAGGAAUCAAACACAACACCCUGUAAGCAGAGGCAUCACACAACACCCUGUGAACAGAGGCAUCACACACAACACCCUGUGAACAAAGGCAUCACACACAACACCCUGUGAACAGAGGCAUCACACAACACCCUGUGAACAGAGGCAUCACACACAACACCCUGUGAACAGAGGCAUCACACACAACACCCUGUGAACAGAGGCAUCACACAACACCCUGUGAACAGAGGCAUCACACACAACACCCUGUGAGCAGAGGCAUCACACACAACACCCUGUGAACAGAGGCAUCACACACAACACCCUGUGAACAGAGUCAUCACACAACACCCUGUGAACAGAGGCAUCACACACAACACCCUGUGAACAGAGGCAUCACACACAACACCCUGUGAACAGAGGCAUCACACACAACACCCUGUGAACAGAGGCAUCACACAACACCCUGUGAACAGAGGCAUCACACAACACCCUGUGAGCAGAGGCAUCACACACAACACCCUGUGAACAGAGGCAUCAAACACAACACCCUGUGAACAGAGGCAUCACACACAACACCCUGUGAACAGAGGCAUCACACAACACCCUGUGAACAGAGUCAUCACACACAACACCCUGUGAACAGAGGCAUCACACACAACACCCUGUGAGCAGAGGCAUCACACACAACACCCUGUGAACAGAGGCAUCACACAAUACCCUGUGAGCAGAGGCAUCACACACAACACCCUGUGAACAGAGGCAUCACACAACACCCUGUGAGCAGAGGCAUCACACACAACACCCUGUGAACAGAGGCAUCCACACAACACCCUGUGAACAGAGGCAUCACACACAACACCCUGUGAACAGAGUCAUCACACAACACCCUGUGAACAGAGGCAUCACACACAACACCCUGUGAGCAGAGGCAUCACACAACACCCUGUGAACAGAGGCAUCACACACAACACCCUGUGAACAGAGGCAUCACACAACACCCUGUGAACAGAGGCAUCACACACAACACCCUGUGAACAG